AGAGUUUGAUCCUGGCUCAGGACGAACGCUGGCGGCGUGCUUAACACAUGCAAGUCGAACGGAAAGGCCCUGCUUGCAGGGUACUCGAGUGGCGAACGGGUGAGUAACACGUGGGUGAUCUGCCCUGCACUUCGGGAUAAGCCUGGGAAACUGGGUCUAAUACCGGAUAGGACCAUCGUUUAGUGUCGGUGGUGGAAAGUUUUUCGGUGCAGGAUGAGCUCGCGGCCUAUCAGCUUGUUGGUGGGGUAAUGGCCUACCAAGGCGUCGACGGGUAGCCGGCCUGAGAGGGUGGACGGCCACAUUGGGACUGAGACACGGCCCAGACUCCUACGGGAGGCAGCAGUGGGGAAUAUCGCACAAUGGGCGCAAGCCUGAUGCAGCGACGCCGCGUGGGGGAUGAAGGCCUUCGGGUUGUAAACUCCUUUCAACCAUGACGAAGCGUAAGUGACGGUAGUGGUAGAAGAAGCACCGGCUAACUACGUGCCAGCAGCCGCGGUAAUAC
rnacentral:rRNA from 1 species